AGAGCAGUAGAGCAGUUCAUAGUCUCCUUGUCCACGAGAUCUCGAAAAUCAAAAUUAUGGAAUCGGCUUUUAGUUUCAGACUGCUUCCAACUACGCAUCUUCGUAUCCUCCAUAGCAGUUCCCCAAUAAACUCAGAUUAUCGGCAAUUGGAGCUGAAUAUGGAGAUGGUUUUGAGACAUUGAGACCAGAUGGACCCUUGAAAGUUGAUGUUGCAAGUAUCCCAGAUUCUUGAGUUUAUAUCUGAAUUUGUUUGCGUGCAGGAUUUUCUAAAUGGUAGACUGCAAGAGGGUUUUCUAAAGCGAAUUCUAUAUGCUAUGAAGCCUGAUGAAGAGUAUGGGGACUCGUUUUCUCCUGGGACAAUGUGAUGGUACUCAAGCUUUGAAUUUGAGUGCUUGGAAACAACUUGGGUAUGAAGAAGGUAUGUGGUCUUGUUACCCAUGUAAUAAUGGGGUUUCACAGGAUCGAAAAUCAUCCAAAUCCGUGGUGCUCGAGGAUGAUUUCCUUGGGGUAUUAUGGCUGCUCACAACUUCUGAUUAUGUUGAGAACUUGCAGGUAUGAUCUGCUGUUGGUAGCUUCAAUGAACUAUCUAUGAUCAAUCUUCAUAGACUAUUCACUCACAAAGGUUCGCUUUCAUGGACCUACAAAAGCAAGUUGUAGAUUAAAACCAUCCAAGAAUCAAUUCCCGUUCUUUUUCCAAUAUAACUUGUAUACAUGUUUUGCAUUGUUCAUAUACAAUCAGGUGGGUAGGUCAUGAAAUUGGUGCAUUUACCAGACUUCAUGUUCAUUCUACCCAAUUGACUUCAUUUGUUUAAAAGGAGGAAGCACAGUUUUUUUU